rnacentral:rRNA from 1 species
GAUGAACGCUGGCGGCGUGCUUAACACAUGCAAGUCGAACGGAAAGGCUCCUGCUUGCAGGGGUACUCGAGUGGCGAACGGGUGAGUAACACGUGGGUGAUCUGCCCUGCACUUCGGGAUAAGCCUGGGAAACUGGGUCUAAUACCGGAUAGGACGAUGGUUUGGAUGCCAUUGUGGAAAGUUUUUCGGUGUGGGAUGAGCUCGCGGCCUAUCAGCUUGUUGGUGGGGUAAUGGCCUACCAAGGCGUCGACGGGUAGCCGGCCUGAGAGGGUGUACGGCCACAUUGGGACUGACAGACGGCCCAGACUCCUACGGGAGGCAGCAGUGGGGAAUAUUGCACAAUGGGCGUAAGCCUGAUGCAGCGACGCCGCGUGGGGGAUGACGGCCUUCGGGUUGUAAACUCCUUUCGCUAGGGACGAAGCGUUUUGUGACGGUACCUGGAGAAGAAGCACCGGCUGACUACGUG